rnacentral:rRNA from 1 species
GGCUAAACCAUGCACCGAAGCUGCGGCAGCGACACUGUGUGUUGUUGGGUAGGGGAGCGUUCUGUAAGCCUGUGAAGGUGUGCUGUGAGGCAUGCUGGAGGUAUCAGAAGUGCGAAUGCUGACAUAAGUAACGAUAAAGCGGGUGAAAAGCCCGCUCGCCGGAAGACCAAGGGUUCCUGUCCAACGUUAAUCGGGGCAGGGUGAGUCGACCCCUAAGGCGAGGCCGAAAGGCGUAGUCGAUGGGAAACAGGUUAAUAUUCCUGUACUUGGUGUUACUGCGAAGGGGGGACGGAGAAGGCUAUGUUGGCCGGGCGACGGUUGUCCCGGUUUAAGCGUGUAGGCUGGUUUUCCAGGCAAAUCCGGAAAAUCAAGGCUGAGGCGUGAUGACGAGGCACUACGGUGCUGAAGCAACAAAUGCCCUGCUUCCAGGAAAAGCCUCUAAGCAUCAGGUAACAUCAAAUCGUACCCCAAACCGACACAGGUGGUCAGGUAGAGAAUACCAAGGCGCUUGAGAGAACUCGGGUGAAGGAACUAGGCAAAAUGGUGCCGUAACUUCGGGAGAAGGCACGCUGAUAUGUAGGUGAAGUCCCUCGCGGAUGGAGCUGAAAUCAGUCGAAGAUACCAGCUGGCUGCAACUGUUUAUUAAAAACACAGCACUGUGCAAACACGAAAGUGGACGUAUACGGUGUGACGCCUGCCCGGUGCCGGAAGGUUAAUUGAUGGGGUCAGCGCAAGCGAAGCUCUUGAUCGAAGCCCCGGUAAACGGCGGCCGUAACUAUAACGGUCCUAAGGUAGCGAAAUUCCUUGUCGGGUAAGUUCCGACCUGCACGAAUGGCGUAAUGAUGGCCAGGCUGUCUCCACCCGAGACUCAGUGAAAUUGAACUCGCUGUGAAGAUGCAGUGUACCCGCGGCAAGACGGAAAGACCCCGUGAACCUUUACUAUAGCUUGACACUGAACAUUGAGCCUUGAUGUGUAGGAUAGGUGGGAGGCUUUGAAGUGUGGACGCCAGUCUGCAUGGAGCCGACCUUGAAAUACCACCCUUUAAUGUUUGAUGUUCUAACGUGGACCCGUGAUCCGGGUUGCGGACAGUGUCUGGUGGGUAGUUUGACUGGGGCGGUCUCCUCCUAAAGAGUAACGGAGGAGCACGAAGGUUGGCUAAUCCUGGUCGGACAUCAGGAGGUUAGUGCAAUGGCAUAAGCCAGCUUGACUGCGAGCGUGACGGCGCGAGCAGGUGCGAAAGCAGGUCAUAGUGAUCCGGUGGUUCUGAAUGGAAGGGCCAUCGCUCAACGGAUAAAAGGUACUCCGGGGAUAACAGGCUGAUACCGCCCAAGAGUUCAUAUCGACGGCGGUGUUUGGCACCUCGAUGUCGGCUCAUCACAUCCUGGGGCUGAAGUAGGUCCCAAGGGUAUGGCUGUUCGCCAUUUAAAGUGGUACGCGAGCUGGGUUUAGAACGUCGUGAGACAGUUCGGUCCCUAUCUGCCGUGGGCGCUGGAGAACUGAGGGGGGCUGCUCCUAGUACGAGAGGACCGGAGUGGACGCAUCACUGGUGUUCGGGUUGUCAUGCCAAUGGCACUGCCCGGUAGCUAAAUGCGGAAGAGAUAAGUGCUGAAAGCAUCUAAGCACGAAACUUGCCCCGAGAUGAGUUCUCCCUGACCCUUUAAGGGUCCUGAAGGAACGUUGAAGACGACGACGUUGAUAGGCCGGGUGUGUAAGCGCAGCGAUGCGUUGAGCUAACCGGUACUAAUGAACCGUGAGGCUUAACCUUACAACGCCGAAGGUGUUU